ensembl:lncRNA
CCUGUCCAUAUGGUAUCGUAGGUCUAUAGUUUUUGUCUCCCUGUCCAUCUGGUAUCGUAGAUCUAUAGUUUUUGUCUCCCUGUCCAUCUGGUAUCGUAGGUCUAUAGUUUUUGUCUCCUUGUCCAUCUGGUAUCGUAGGUCUAUAGUGUUUGUCUCCCUGUCCAUCUGGUAUUGUAUGUCUAUAGUUUUUGUCUCCCUGUCCAUCUGGUAUCGUAGGUCUAUAGUUUUUGUCUCCCUGUCCAUCUGGUAUUGUAUGUCUAUAGUGUUUGGCUCCCUCUCCAUCUGGUAUCGUAGGUCUAUAGUGUUUGGCUCCCUGUCCAUCUGGUAUCGUAGGUCUAUAGUGUUUGGCUCCCUGUCCAUCUGGUAUCGUAGGUCUAUAGUUUUUGUCUCCCUGUCCAUCUGGUAUUGUAUGUCUAUAGUGUUUGGCUCCCUGUCCAUCUGGUAGUGGUUAGAUCAUUGGACUAGUCGCCGGAAGGUUGCAAGAUCAAAUCCCCGAGCUGACAAGGUAAAAAUCUGUCGUUCUGCCCUUGAACAAAGCAGUUAACCAACUGUUCCUAGGCCG